AUCGAAUUUGAGAGAGCUUUGAGAAAUCCAUUGACGCGUUGCUCAAAGUCCGCGAUCUCUCCAGACGCGCAGAAAUGAGUGCAAUUUCCCGAAGCAGAUCGCUCAAUUUCUUCAUAUUUUUCCUUUCGUGCUCCUUACAAUUCAUCCUAGGCGUUUCUGAUGAUUCAUCUGGUGCCAAUGAUAAGCC